rnacentral:lncRNA from 1 species
GCCCUGAGAGGCGGUGAGGCUGUGCAGUCCGGGUUCUGCUGAGCUUUCUCCCCACUUCCUUUUCGCUGCCCAGUUUUCCUGUCCUUGAUGUCCCGGGCCUGGCGUGUCUUGGACGGAAACUCGGCAUCUUCUGUUUACUGCUGGCAUCCACGAAACAGUAACAGGCCCCAGACUCUUCACAGAUCCUGAAACCACUCACCUGCCUAAGACUGACAACGUUGGCACAAUUUCAACCUCCCUGUGCCUUUCUUCCCGGGGAAGGAAGCUGAGAGGGGAUGAAUCAAGUAACAUAAUAAACUUCUGAGAAGGCAGAGCAAUAUGUUUGGGUCUCCAUCUUUCUUUCAAAAAAGAAGCUUCAUAUCAAGACUUGGAAAGAAGUGCAAAUCUCUUAGUGAAGAAACUGCCAAGAAAAUUACUGCUCACCUAGCUCAAAGAGAAACAUUAAUUAAAGGAUGGAAUCUUCACAGUCAAGAAUUGAGAAAGCAAGGGCUGCAAUAUAUAUCCUGAUUUCCAUCUAAUGUAAAGUUGGCUGCUCGUAUAUCAUAUGUUUGGAAUAUAAGCCUUUACAAUUGAUGGGCAUAUUUGAUGUGCUAUAUUUAUAUGUUUUUUAAAUUAAACUGUUAUUUGCUUGUAAGAAUUCUAAACCACACUUCUCCCAAAAAUGUAACGAGAAUAUAGACAGUCAUGCUUGGACAAAUUCUGAUCUUUUAUAAGAUUUCUGAGUUGAUCUUAGUUAUAUUUACUGAGGGCUGGAAGUUUAUUUUCUGAAGUGUGUAAGACAGAAGGUCUCUGGUCUGGGAGCAAAAAGGAAAAAUGGAAGGUGUGAGUAUUAUAUUGAAAAUCGAAUGAUCAAGUUAAUUUAGCCAUUUUCUCCUACUCAGCUCCCCAUAUACUGGUAGCCAGGUCUUCAUCAUCCAGAGAAGAAAUUAACGGUCUCUAGAAAAUAAUACAAACUCAAGAGGAAGUUCCAAAGAUGCUGACAUCAGAAAUUUCUUGAAUAAAUAGCCCAACCUGAUCUACCUAAAUGAGAUUCAAUCUUAAGGCCCACUAAUGCACUCAAAGAGACCAGUGAGAUUUUUACAAAACUACAAAAUAUGAAAAGACAAUAUAUGUCAAAUAUGAGAAGACAAUAGUAUAUAUGCGUAUAUAAUUAUAUAUAAAGUAUUAAAAUAUAUGUGAAGACAGAAACACCAUAAAAUAUGAUAAGAUGAUUAAGGGUUAUCAGACAUUGAAAACCAUUAUAUAAUUUGGAAGACAGAGACAAAAACAAAUAGAUAUAAAGCAAUUUGGAGGCAAGAGGCCAUGCAGAAAAAAAAAAAAAAAAACCUGAAAAUGAGAACAAAACAGAAUUAAUAUCUUCAGAGAGAUGAGAGAUCAUACACCCCAAAACAAAAACAGGAUACUAUAAUAAAGAAGAGUUUUUACAAAUGAAAAAUAUUAUAUCAAAAAAUGAAAACUUGGAGUUCCCAUCAUGGAACAGCAGAAAUGAAUCUGACUAGGAACCAAGAGGUUGCAGGUUUGAUCCCUGGCCUCUCUCAGUGGGUUAAGGAUCCGGCGUUGCUGUGAACUAAGGUGUAGGUCUCAGGCUUGGAUCUAAUGUUGCUGUGGCUUUGGCAUAGGCCGGCAAUUGUAGCUCCAGUUCAGCCCCUGGCCUGGGAAACUCCAUACGCUGCAGGUGCGGGCCUAAAAAGCAAAAAC